GAUGAACGCUGGCGGCGUGCCUAAUACAUGCAAGUCGAGCGAACAGACGAGGAGCUUGCUCCUCUGACGUUAGCGGCGGACGGGUGAGUAACACGUGGAUAACCUACCUAUAAGACUGGGAUAACUUCGGGAAACCGGAGCUAAUACCGGAUAAUAUAUUGAACCGCAUGGUUCAAUAGUGAAAGACGGUUUUGCUGUCACUUAUAGAUGGAUCCGCGCCGCAUUAGCUAGUUGGUAAGGUAACGGCUUACCAAGGCGACGAUGCGUAGCCGACCUGAGAGGGUGAGCGGCCACACUGGAACUGAGACACGGUCCAGACUCCUACGGGAGGCAGCAGUAGGGAAUCUUCCGCAAUGGGCGAAAGCCUGACGGAGCAACGCCGCGUGAGUGAUGAAGGUCUUCGGAUCGUAAAACUCUGUUAUUAGGGAAGAACAAAUGUGUAAGUAACUAUGCACGUCUUGACGGUACCUAAUCAGAAAGCCACGGCUAACUACGUGC
rnacentral:rRNA from 1 species